rnacentral:rRNA from 1 species
UUGUAGNCUUUGGAAACUGUUUAACUUGAGUGCAGAAGGGGAGAGUGGAAUUCCAUGNGUAGCGGUGAAAUGCGUAGAUAUAUGGAGGAACACCGGUGGCGAAAGCGGCUCUNUGGUCUGUAACUGACGCUGAGGCUCGAAAGCGUGGGGAGCGAACAGGAUUAGAUACCCUGGUAGUNCACGCCGUAAACGAUGAGUGCUAGGUGUUAGGUCCUUUCCGGGACUUAGUGCCGCAGCUAACGCAUUAAGCACUCCGCCUGGGGAGUACGACCGCAAGGUUGAAACUCAAAGGAAUUGACGGGGGCCCGCACAAGCGGUGGAGCAUGUGGUUUAAUUCGAAGCAACGCGAAGAACCUUACCAGGUCUUGACAUCCCGAUGCCCGCUCUAGAGAUAGAGCUUUACUUCGGUACAUCGGUGACAGGUGGUGCAUGGUUGUCGUCAGCUCGUGUCGUGAGAUGUUGGGUUAAGUCCCGCAACGAGCGCAACCCUUAUUGUUAGUUGCCAUCAUUCAGUUGGGCACUCUAGCGAGACUGCCGGUAAUAAACCGGAGGAAGGUGGGGAUGACGUCAAAUCAUCAUGCCCCUUAUGACCUGGGCUACACACGUGCUACAAUGGCUGGUACAACGAGUCGCAAGCCGGUGACGGCAAGCUAAUCUCUGAAAGCCAGUCUCAGUUCGGAUUGUAGGCUGCAACUCGCCUACAUGAAGUCGGAAUCGCUAGUAAUCGCGGAUCAGCACGCCGCGGUGAAUACGUUCCCGGGCCUUGUACACACCGCCCGUCACACCACGAGAGUUUGUAACACCCGAAGUCGGUGAGGUAACCGUAAGGAGCCAG